rnacentral:lncRNA from 1 species
UUAAAGUGAUUGCUUAUUCAUCCCCAGCUUCAUAUAUAUACUAGUGUAGAGACCCGCGCGAUACAGCGGGUAGAUAAUAUAAGCAAAAUUUAAAAAUUUUAAUAAAAUUUAUAUUUACAGGUUAUUGAUAUAUAGAAAACUAUACAAUGUUAAGUACAACCAAUUUGCAUGACUAAAUUUAACUAUUAAAAAAAUAAAUUAUAGCUAGAAUCCACUUAUUGAUAAAAUAUUAAUAUGGUGCAUGUAAUUAAUUGUUGCACUUUAAUUAUAUAUAAUUAGAGGAGUGGGGAGGUGAAGGGUUGGGCGUUGAGAAGAAGAGAAGGUGGUUUGAUUUAAAAUUGGGCUAUAAGAAUGAAGGGUAACAUGUUACGUGAUAAAAAAAUUUUUAUGGUGCAUACAAAAGAGUUACAAAAGAGAGGGGGUGGGAGAUUAAUGGAGAAAGGAAUUGAUUAAAGUUAUAAAGCUCACUCAUUGACAGAAUAUUAAUAUGGUGGUGCAUAUAAUUAAAUGUUGCACCUUGUAUGUAAUUAGAUGAGUGGAGAGUGAAAGGUAACAUGCCACGUGACAAAAAAUAUUGUGGCUUUAUAUAGGUUUAUAUAUAUAUAUAUAUAGAGAGAGAGAGAGAGAGAGAGAGAGAGAGAGAGAGAGAGAGAGUCCGGCUACUAUACUCUUAUCGAUCGCCUUUGUACUCAUAACUUGUUUUCGAUUAUAGAGCUUCCGAAUCGACGAUCCAUACCAUUAAACAUUAUUUAGAGCAUUUAAAACUUCCAGAAAUCAAAUUUUAUAAUUUUUCGAUAUUAUUUACCUUACGAUCAAAGGCUCACAAAAUUGACAAUUUUUAAUGGCCGGUAUGAGAUAUUUACUAGUUUAACGGUGAAAAAGAAUCGGAAUAUGUUGAAUUUUUGAUAGAAAAUUCUAUUCACUACCUAAAUAAAGAUCAAUAACUCCGAUCUUAAAUUGAAGGAUCCGAUCAUCCAUUUUUAGGAUAUCAUUCGAUUUUAACCGUUCAUUUUAUACUCGCUUGAUGGACUUUAUAAUGAUUUUAAAAAAGUACAAAAUUUAUUUUCUAUAAGUGUCAAAUAUUCUAGAUCAUGUUUAAUAGUGUGGAUCGUCGAUUCGAAAACCCCAAUAUUGAAAACAACUUAUGAGUACGAAGGCGAUCGUACUCAUAAGAGUAUAGUAGCCGGACUCUCUCUCUAUAUAUAUAUAUAUUUAAAAAGAUUUAAAUAUUUUUUAAAAUUUUUUAAUUUAGUUUUUUUAUUUUUUUAAAUUUAUUUUUUAAUGAACAGGGUUAGAGAGAUAUGUAUACCUCGUUUGCUUUUUGACCUCUCCCACUUAACGGAUUUUGUGCUGAUUCAAACUAUUUGAUCAAAUCCACUUUGAAUUUGACUUAGAAACUUUUAAUGAAUUUUAAUGCACGGUGCAAUAUUGGAUAAGCGUUAUCAUAUUCCAAGAACACCUCUAUUACAAAUCUACGUAACGCUUACAUGCAAUUUAAAUAUACAUAAAGAAUAAUAAAAAGAGAUUAAUUAACUGGUUUAAUUUGUUGAAUUUAACAUCACUUUCCUUUUCUUAUAAAAAUGUAUGUGUCUUACGUCUUAUAAAAGUCUUUGUAACAUUGUUCCUAUCUACUUAGACGUGUCAGAUAACAAUUAUAUAUAUAAAAAUAAACCAGAGUAAUUAAUAUUUUUAAAAAUAAACUCAACUAUAGACCAAUUUGAAACAAAAUUCUCACGUUUUAAUUUAUUUUAAUUUAAAUUAUUCUUUUAGUUAAAUUCACAAUAAAUUGGUAAAUCACUCAGCGAAUUCAUCAAACUUUUUUAGCUGUGGAAAUCACUUGCUUCGUCUCAAUUGGUUACUGGAUAAAUAAGUCAAAUUCGUUAAUUAAUAUGAAAGAAAAAAAAUCUAUACUAUAUAUAAAAGCGUACAGAAAUGACAGACGGAAUAAAAAAGAAAUAAAAAAUAUUUCAUACGAAAGGUUAUGAUUAAUUUGUUAAAAAGAAAUAUAAAAAAAAAUCAUUCAUAUCCAUCUAUAAAUUUAAUUCUAUAAGCGGUUAUGAUUAAUUUGAUAAAAAUAUUUCAAAUAACAAAGAACGGCUGUAAUCAAUCUGUUAAAAAAUAUUAUUUCUUUCCAUCUAUUUUAUAUUAAAAUUUAAAUUUGAGUUUAAAUCGUGAAAAAAAUUUAAUUUUUGAUAUGAAAUUUGACUUAAUAGUUAAAAAAUUUUAAUUAUAUAAUGGAUCAAAAUUAAAUUUUAAAUUUUGAAAUAGAAAUCAAUUAAAUUUUGAUGUUUUUAGUUUAAAGCACAUACUUAAAUGUUAGAUUCAUAAUAAAUUUAAAAGUAUAUAAAAAUAUUUAAUAUAUAUAGAAAAGAACAAUAUAAAACAUUGCAAAUAUUUUUUAAUAAAAUAUAACAUAUAAAUUUAUAAAUUAUAGUUUUUAUUGUAAAUUUUUAAAUAAAUAUAAUGUACAAAUUUAUAUUAAUUUAAACUAACUUAAAAUAAUUAUUACGUGUUUUUGCAUGUAUACUCAACUAAGGCUUCGUUUGGGAUUGCGGAGAGAUUGCGUUACGUGCGGUGAGAAACGACGAUGGAAAAAUACCAUGUUUGUUUCCGUAUGUAAUAUUGCGUUCCGCAUAUCGCGAUGAGUAAGUACGAUAUAUUUUCUGCAGUGCUUUUUCUGUUACGAUAUAUUUUCUGCAGUCCCAACGGAGAACGCUGAAGCAUAUCCAUACAUACUUUUUCCUCAACUCCAUUUUAUCUAAUAGCGUUAGAUAGAUCUCAAUACCAAACUAACGCUAUUAGAUAAAAUUGAGUUGAGGAAAAAGCAUAUAUGGAUAUUCUUCUGCGAUCACCAGUGGGACAGCAGAAAAUAUAUCGUAACCGACUCAUCGGAUAUGCGGAAUGCAAUAUUACGUACAAAAAUAAACGAGGUAUUUUUACAACGUAUUUUUUUACCGUACGUAACGUAAUUUUUUUAUAAUUCCAAACGAAGCCUAAUGCUUAUCAAAAUGACUUUUUUCAGUUUUGGAGUAAGAGUCGAUUUAGGAUUCUUCCCACAUUUUUAGGUCAUAUUUUAAUGCAACGGCUGUUGUCAAAAGCGCUUCUCCUUCACGUGAGCUGGAAUGCCGCGUGGGCACCCCAGGCCCAGAUAUGUUGGAAAGGACGCGGAUUUUCUGCAACUGAUCUGUAUUCGUAAAUGUCGGCGUAAUCGAUCAUACUCAAUUUAGAAAAAAAAAAAGAAGUUAAAGUAAAAAUAUAAAUAGAUAAUUAUUUAUAUAUUUUUUAAAAUUUUGAAAAUAUUUUAUUUAUUUAUUUAUUUUUUAAUAUAACUUUCAUAUGUUCCUUCCUUAUUUUAAAAUAUCUCUACAGUUAUUAUCCGUUAAGUUAACUUGAGUUAAAUGUGGGUUAAAUAUCUAUUAGAGCUAAAAAAAAUUAAAAUGCCUCUUUUGUUUUUAACUUAAGGGUAAAUAAGGAAAGUCGGUGAUGGUAGAAUGGUAUGUAUGUUUGAAAUGGUAAAAUAGUAAUUUCAUACAGAUCACAAGUAUUGCUAACACGUUAUUAACAGAAUUUAACUCUAGAUAUGUAUUUGAAAUAGGUUGGAACGUAAAAAUGAAAAUUUCAAUAUUAGCCUUCUAAGAGAAAUAAAUCAGAAAGUCGGAAACUUUUUAAGAGUAUAUAAACAAUUGCCCCAAAUAUAAAAUAUUCUAAUAGCUUAAGUUUGUGGGUUUGGAUCUAAAUCUCUUAAUAAUUUUUCACAUAUAUAUAUAUAUAUAUAAUAUAGAAUUGAGCUUCUAUACCUUUAAAAAUAGUAAAUUAUUAGCGCUUGCAGGUUUUAGGAUUCAGUGAGUGGUUGAUUGAAUAGUAUACUGUAACGACUGAAAAUGGUUAAAAAAAUAAAUCUAACGGUGAAAAACUUACAAACACCAAAUACUUGAUGUUUUUAAAAAUAUCACAGCGGAACUCUCUCUCUCUCUCUCUCUCACCAUAUAUAGAGUUUUCUGUUGGAUGUAAAAUUUUAAAAUUGUACUGUAUAUUAUUUUAUUUGGUAUCAAAUAUGAUGUUCUAAGUUUGAAUCCGGCCGUCUGGCUCCUACUCCUAACUCCACGCAUACAUAAUUUUUAAGAUUUUGAAAAAUAACGAUAAUUUUUGCAUUAUUUUCAUAUUUCUUGAGUACUAUCAAGCAUAUUUCGUCGAAUAAUUAUAAUUUUGCAACAUCUAUAACAGGGUUAGAGGGCUUGCUUGGAAUUGCGGAAAAAUUACUUUACGAAUGAUGAAAAAGAACGAGAAAAAAAAGACUAUUUGUUUCUGCACAUAAUGUUACGUUCCGCAUAUCGCAAUAAAAAUAUCUUUUUUACAGUCCCACUAGAAAACACAAAAUCAUAUCUCGAUAUCUCCUGUUCCAACUUUUUUUAUCAAUUAAUAUUAGAUCGAUGAACAUCGAUACAAAACGAAAACAGUUGUUGGAUGGGAGGAGUGUAUUCCAAUUUUUUUUUUUCGCACGUGUAGCAUUUAAAAAAUAGCCCCCCCUCUUUUUGUUUUCUUUAAUUUUUUAAAUUUUUAAUUUCUUUAUUAUCACUAAUUUUCAAAUGCAUUAUACCAGAUUACCGGGAAAAGAACAAAGCGACACGUCAGCGUCGUAGAAGCCGAUCCAAAUUUUAUGACUUGUUUCAAUUAUUAUUAUUACUUCAUAAAUUCCUCGCCACGUAACUCAAUUGGUUUGUUCCAAUUUUUGAUUUGAUAGGAUUAGACCAAAUAACUAAAAGAAAUUAUUACAUGCACCCGGCGUAUUUCUCCAUCUGUGCACCACCCAUUUACUGGCGAUUACAAAUAACCAAGUCUCAAUAUAUUAUGGAUAUUCAGAUAAAUUUUACCGCACAACAUAAUAUAGUAGCAGCUUCUUUUUAUCACUUAAAUCGAAACAUCGGAUUCUGAAACAGAGAUAUAUAACUCGCGUUUUAGUGGAUGGUAUAAAUUGAAGUAUGGGAUGAAAUGAAUAGAUAGUGCACGAAUAUAUGAAUGCAUGGCGCGCAAUAAUUUUUAUGAAGUAGAGGGGGGAGGGGGUUUGGACUUGGUGUUUCUCUUUAGGUGGAUUCAGUGUAGGUGAUUCUCUCUCUCUUUCUCUCUCUCUCUCUCUCUUUCUUUCUUUAUAUAAGCCUCCAAAUUUGCGUGUUUCUCUCGAACCUCUCCGUUCUCUCGCGCUUCUCUCUCUCUCUCUCUCUCUCUCUCUCUCCAUUGUUGGUUGGUCACAAAAGAUAAGAGCUUUAAGGUAUUUUCUCUCUCCUCUUCUCUCCAUUUUAUUAAAAAGUAUGAGCUUUUUCUUACAAAUGAUGGACAAUACGUAAACCGCGCACAGUUUUUUGAUUUUUCAUAUCGUAUUGAUCCUUUUAUGAGAUAUAUAUUAUUUCUUUUGUUUUCCCUUUCAUUAAUACGGUUUUAUUUAUUGAUUUUGGAUUAGUUUUUUGUUUUUUUUUGGGCGAUAUUUCGGAGUAUGUGCAUAUAAGAAAGUAAAUAUAUACUUGGCGAUUAAAAAAGGAAUAAACAGUUGUGAAUUAUUCAUGAUAAGUUUUGUUUAAUUUAAUCGAUGAGAAUGUUCGGAAGUAAUUAAUAAUCUAGGUAAGAAGAUUCUAAUCUAAAGGUUUUCUUCUUUUUUUUUUUUUUUUUUUUUUUUUUUUUUUUAAUAUCAUCCCCGCACCAUAAUGUAAAAGUAAUCACCUUUACAUGCUUUUGGUGCCAUAGAAUACGCCCCUAUUUUUUUUGCUUUUGUACUAUAUAUGUUCACGUACUUAAUACUAAGUUAAUUACUAAGAGAGUUUUAAGUUAUUAACAAAUUAAUUAGAAGAUACUAUAAAGAGAAAAGGAAGUGAAAUUAGAGAUUCAUUGUAUAUAUGUAUGAAACAUGCAAUUAUUUGUGGCCCCAACUUAGAAAAAAAAAAGAGGUUUUUCUAAGUAUUAACUUUAUAGCCAUUUGUGCAAAAAUUCAUAACAUUUAAUAGCCACCUAUGUAGUUGUUAUCAACCCCACAUUUUUGAAUGAAUCAUUAGAACAACAAUUGGAUUCACACACACACACACACACACACACACACAAAUCACCUCUAACUUUGCGGCAAUUUCGGUAUUUUUUCUUCUUUUUUUUCUUUCUUUGCUAAUGUUGUUGGAUUCAAAUUACAAUGCUCACUCUAAUGCUUUUCUCUUUUUAUGUGGUUUGAAAAUUUGCACCAUGACAGGAUGCAUUGCUAGCGUCGGCGCGAAUCGCAGCUUCGAGCAAACGAAAUUUGAAUUCGCAGUUGCUGUUUAAGGGAGUUUCAAGUGAAAGGGAGAAGAUGGGUUUCUUCUCCCUGUUUCUUGUGGCAUCCAUGCCAAUUGUGCAGGUCCUGCUCAUAGGCCUGCUGGGAGCUUUUCUUGCUUCUGGUUACAGCAACAUUCUCACCGUCGGCGCGCGCAAGGACAUGAACAAGGUGACUUUUUUUUUGUAAAUUUUGUUCGCGGGUUUGUUCUAAAUCUUUCUCAAUAUUUCUCUUCUUUAUACCUGGUUCAAUCAAUAUAUAUAUAUACCAGGUUGUUUUCGCGGUGUUCACGCCGUCUCUCAUGUUCGCGAACCUGGCAAAGACAGUGACUCUCCAGGAUGCUAUCUCUUGGUAAUUUUCUAAGAUCAAAACAUGAAUUUCUUCUGUUUUUGGGUCAAUUUUUUGAUUUUGUUUGUCUCUUUUUAAGGUGGUUUAUGCCUGUCAACAUUGGGAUCAUAUUCUUAGUUGGUGGGCUUCUUGGAUGGGUGGCAGUGAAGAUCUUGAGACCACCCCAACAUCUCGGAGGCCUCGUCAUCGCUUCGUGCUCCGCAGGUAAAACAUUUUAGGAAAGAUUACGAUUUCGAUUACGUUUCUCGGAGUUUUAAUUUCGAUAAUUUAGUUCUUAUGAUAUGGCGCAGGAAACCUCGGCAAUCUACUGCUGAUAAUUGUUCCUGCUGUUUGUGAUGAGGAUGGGAAUCCAUUUGGUGGCGAGAGGAGCAUCUGCAGCGCCCGCGGGCUCUCUUACGCGUCUUUCUCGAUGGCGGUAAAAGCAGCUUUUUAAUCCAAAUUUUCUUUUGUGUUUUACAUGAUGUUAGUUGUGACAUUUGAAGCUGUAAAAUUUACUGAAAUGUUGUGCUUUUCAAUACUAUUAAUUUGCAGCUUGGGGGCUUCUACAUAUGGACACAUACAUAUAGUCUCAUGAAGAGAGCUGGAAAAUUGUAUCACAGGAACCUGCUAAGAAAUAAUUUGGUUCAAGAGAUUGAACACAAGGAUUCGUUCGCGAACGGGGAUUCGGGCAAGGCGGAGAACGGAGAGGCUGCGGUCGAUCAGGAGGCUUUGAUUCCGACAGCAGAGAAACCCGACGACGAAAGCCAACAAAACCAACUUGUAAGCUGCAGUUACUGAAAGUUUCAGAAUCUCAAAUUUUUGAAAGAAUUUGAAAGGCUGAUCAAAAAAUUCAGCCUCUAAGUUAUUCAUCCCUGAUUAGAUUUGAAACUUAAAUAAUUUUACAAUAGUUAUUGAAAGAUAAAGUUACCAUGUUAGCAAAUUGCAAGUAUGAUGCUGAUCUUACAGAAGAAUUUAACCUUUAUCUGAGCUUUUUUUGGAUGUUAUAAUGCAGGCGUUGCCGCUGUUGUCUAGUGACAGUAGUUUUAUGGGCAGUAAGAAGAACUUCUGGGACAAGCUCAAAGAAGGCACCCACCAGAUUGUUGAGGAAUUACUCGCACCGCCAACUGUUUCUGCUGUAUGUUCUUAUUGUAUAAGUUACAGUAAAAAUCGACUUUUUCUACCAAUGUAUAUGCCAAUUGUACUAACUUAGCUGCUAUAAAAACAAAACUUUUCAAAUCAGAUCAUAGGUUUCAUUGUUGGCGCAACGCCAUGGUUGAAGUCUCUAUUUAUCGGAGAUGCAGCUCCUCUUCGAGUUAUACAAGACUCCGUAAAACUAUUAGGGUAAUUUUUCGAUGUGGAUUGUUACAUUCUCUGUGUUUUUUUUUUUUUUUUUUUUUUUUUUCUGUUUAAGUUAUGGAAAAUAAUUUGUUCUUAUGAUUUCUCCCCCUAAAUGCAGGGAUGGCACAAUACCUUGCAUUACCCUCAUUCUAGGAGGAAACCUUACACAAGGUUAGAAACUCCUGCAACUUGUACACACAAUGUCACUUAAAAUUGUUUCUGAUCUAAGAUUUCAAUUAUGAUCAGGGCUUCGAAAGUCGGUCAUAAGGCCGGUGGAGAUCGCAGCCAUAAUCCUCGUGCGGUAUCUGAUCCUCCCAGUAAUCGGGGUCGCCGUGGUGAAAGCGGCUUACGAAAUCGGAUUCCUACCGCAAGACCCGCUGUAUCGAUACGUGCUGAUGAUACAGUUCACUCUCCCCCCUGCAAUGAACAUUGGUAAGAGAAGCCUCAUCUGAACACUCUCACUUUAAAUUCUGCAAUUUAUCAUCAGUUUUGAAUCUGAGGAUCAUGAUCUUAAAACUCUGACGACACAAUAUGGUGCAGGAACAAUGGCUCAGUUGUAUGAUGUUGGUCAAGAGGAGUGCUCUGUGAUCUUCCUAUGGACUUAUUUGGUCGCGGGGGUCGCGCUCACUGCUUGGUCGACCGUGUUCAUGUGGAUAUUGUCGUAGAAUUAUCGAUCGAAUCGGUCGCGCCGAUUACUAUUUUACUCCCUACAUACAUAUACAUUUUUUGCAUUGUUGUGAUUUGGAAUGUCAAAAGAAGGGCAAAAAAGUGGAAGCAUAUUACUUGCAUGGUAGAGGCCCUGUAGUAAUAUGUAAAAUGGCCUGGAAUUGCUAAGAGUUUAUUAGGAUAUUAGUUGUGCAGCAAUGGUUAUACAAGUUUAUAAUUCUUUAUGUAUCUUAGAAAUUUUGUCUUUUAUAUAUAUAUAUAUAUGUUAUAUGUUGUUCAUAUUGUAUUUUGUUCUCAAAGACAUGAACAUGCAAAUUCAUAGAGAGUAUUUCAUAAGCUCAUGUAUUUCUUAUUUUACCUUUGAGGGAAAGCAGGAGGAAACUAAAUAUCAAAACAACAAACCAUGCACGAUAAUCUAAAGUUUCGUUUGGAAUUGCAGAAAAAUUACAUUACGUAUGGUACAAAUACGACGAAAAAUAUACAUCAUUUGUCUUGUAAAUAAUAAUAUAACACUGCACUUAUAACAAUGAGUCAGUUAGAAUACAUGCAUAUGUAAGUAAGAUAACGUGUAGUAUCAGGCGAGCCCAAAGAAUUAAUGUAAAAUAAGAGGUCCGUCCCUUUCUCUUUUUUUUUUGAGAGUGAUGCUACAUUUCAUUUUAGUUACUCGCCAAAAAUUGCACGGAACUCCUUUUUCUUUUUCUUUUUCUUUCUUUUUUUUUUUUCAGUUGCCCAGACCAUAUCAAAGGAGAUACUUAGAUACAUUGGAACUUCGAUUUUUCUACGUAAAUUCUAUAUGAUGGAGUAUACAACAGUUUAUCCUCCCUGCGCAUUUAAAUAGAAAAUUUUUGUUCACAAAAGUUGAAAAACUAACAAUACCAUCUCUCAAUAUAUAUACAUAGAGAGAUACAGAGAUCUCUCAAUAUAUAUACAUAGAGAGAGAUACAGAGAGAGAGAGAGAGAGAGAGAGAGUUGAGCUGUAAUACUUUUAAAAGCACGGGAGUUCAAUAGACUUGUGAUUUUUUUUUUUUUUUUUUUUUUCUGUUGGAUCGUCUCAAAAUCCGCACAGUACUAGCAAAAGAGAUUUAAUGGGACCAACAGUGAUGCAAACAUUUAAAAAAAAAAAAAACCCUACAAAUCAUCUCCAAGUGCAAGAGACAUUGCGACGAAAGCUCCGCGAGCUCUUAGAACACUCAUAGUGACACAACAACAACAGCCGCCGAUGUAGAAAGCCUCGAAAAAGAUCACUGUCACUGAAUCUAUCAAACUUACAAUCUCAUCCGAGGAAUCUCAAUCUAAAGCAGAUAUGUGGGACGCAACAAUGCUACAACUUAAAAAAUAUUGUGGAGAAUAAGUAAGAGCAACCUCAUUACAGAUUAUAUGUUAGUGACCAGUUAGGAUAAGCAAGAUUAGUUAAGAUAAUUGAGUUACAGAACAUAACUUUUGGGUUUUAAAUAAGCUUGAGAAACUAAUUUGCUUAAGUUAUAUGACCAGGAUAAGUGAGUACAACACCAACAAUCACUUUUACUCACCAUGGUUUUGGAUUCUCCAGAAGGAAACACUUCGCCGAAUCACAAAGCAGUGAUAACCAUCAUUUUUCUCUCCACACCAUUUGGAUUCCUAAUUACUUCUCCAAUACAAACUACCCCUGGUGCAACAAUAUAGGCUUUUGGCUUAGAUCCAACCACAAAAGAUAUUACAAGUUCAAUGACUCAAAAAAUAACAAGCCCCAUGAAUAAACUCUUCCAAGUUUGUGAAUGCUCUACAAUGAGAAGUUAACAUACCCAGCAAGCCAAAACAGUCUCAAGAAAAAGGAAGGGUGCAAUUUCCAGACACUAGCAAUUUCCAAAGCAGACCAAUAGAAGUUUCAAAAUGAAAAGUGAUACAUUUUCUCAAUAUCAAAACAAAGUGAUAAAAGGUUUUAAGCGCGAAUUAAAGCCUUUUUUUUAAAAAAAAAAAAGCCGUUUCAUGUUUCUCCAAGGUAAUGAUUUAAUCUGAGAGAUCUUUUACGGUUAACACUUCACCAGAUGCAGGAAGAUACCUGGAAAAAUAAGUAAUCCUAAAUUGAAUGAAUCAAAGAGCUUCUAAUUCCAAGCAUCAAAGCUACUGACAACUGGGGAAGAUAAGAUGGUCGUCACAACAGGUUUGCAAGGAUUAAAGCAUUGACUCGAGAAAAUUAUUGGAAGCAAAUACAACAAGAACAAUCAGACCACUAGUUCCUCUCCUGCCACUCAUGCUAAUUUCCGCAAACAUCUCUUAAAACAGUAACGAGUAGAUAAGACAAUCAUUGCAACCAAAGUCCAACAAGAACAAAAUCAAUAAACAAAGUUCAGUUAUCCUAGAAAUAAUUGAACUAGCUCUGAGAUCUUCAGCUUGGUUGAUCUCUCUCUGAUAGGAUAAAAAAGCCAAACAGUUUAAACAAGUAGUGAGCCUCUGUAGCAGCACGAAGGAGGACAAAGAGUGCGCUGCGCUACUACUGAAAUGUCUCCACCAGCAUCUGCAUAUCUUUUCUGGUGAAAACAUGGAGCAAUUCCAGCACAGGUUGUAGAGACUACUAGUGUGGUCAUUUAAAAUCUGCAAGUAAAAGCCAAAAGUGCUUUACGCACAGCAGAAACCACGAUAUGGCACAGCAAUUGCCCAGAGAAGUAAAGAAAUGUAAUCAUCACAAGAAGCGUUUAUGAUGAUAUCACAGAUGAUCUCCAUAACAGCCAAGAUGAGAUCUGAGUUAUCGAUUGUCAUAAACCUUCCACAGUUGAUUUUCGAAUCAAGGAAAAUAGAUAUAAUAUCGAUUGUCAUAAACCUUCCACAGUUGAUUUUCGAAUCAAGGAAAAUAGAUAUAAUUUGAAUGAACAGCCAGCAUAAAUUGUGAAAGAAAAAACGAUGAUGUGGUUUGAAGCAUUCAUCCAUGCAAAGAUUCACUAUUUUAAGGAACUUAAAAAGCUUCCCGUGUAUAAAAAAAAGGGGUUCGCUUAGCCUAGCAACAUUAUUCGCAACAGAAGAAGCAUUGAACAUAAUAGUGAGUAUGUUGACAGUCAGAUCUGAUGUUGAUGGACAAUUUUCAGAAGUCACGGCUCAUAUUUCUACAAUUGUGUAUCAAAUUUAUUCUCAACCAAAAUGGCCCAAUACGAAAAAUAACAGUUCUUAUGUAGCAUCCCAGAUGCUCCUCACACGCUUACUCAUCAAAAGUUCAGCAAGAAUAAGCAAAACAUUUAUUUGCUAAAUUCUUCAGAAAAGCACUAGAUUUUCUGCAUUGAUAUCGACUACAGAGGCAAUGGAGAGGUUCUUCUGUGUAAGAAUUCAGCAGUUCAUAAGAAACUUAAUAUUCAUGAUUUAUGAUAAUUGUUCACUGUAAUAUAGUCAAACGAAGUUAGUGAUCUGCCGAGUUACAUUCCCUCUAUUCCUAUUUAAACCAUACAAGAUAGUGAGUUGUAUAUAUACACACACUUUAUAGGCAACUUGGAUUGUUAUAAGCUCAUAUUAGAAUCUCCAAGUGAAAUUCUCAAAUGUAGACAUGCACAUAAGUUGCGAGUAUCAUAAACAUUAUCAAUCGUGAGUAGCAAAACAUUAGACGAUUCUCGCAUAAGUUCACGCAAAAGAGAACAAUUAUUAGCAUAGAAAAGCACACAGCAGGAGAUUAAGAUUAUGAGUAACGAGAACGAAAGACAGAAAGAUGGAAAGCGAAAAAGGAAGCACCUUUUACUCCACACUGCUGCUGAUUACUCUCGCCCCGACCCUGUCGAGGCUCGCGACCGUCGCGGUCGCAUUCAAUCCCCCUUCCCUUGAGAAGGCCUCCACCAUCCUCUCCCCGAUCUCCCGCCCCUUCUCCUCGCCGUCGAUCACCGCCACGGCCGUGGGGCCGGCGCCGCUGAUCGUGCAGCCGAAGGCCCCCGCCGCCACCGCCGCGGCCUUCACCGCGGCCAUCCCGGGGAUCAGCGGCGCCCGGCGCGGCUCCACGAUCGCGUCCGAGGACAUCGCGGCGCCCAGGGCCCGGGCGUCGCCCCGCGCCACGGCAGCGACGAGCGCCGCGGCCUGGCUCGCGUUGCGCACGUGCUCCUUCAUGGAGACGCCGGCGGGGAGCGCGGCGCGCAUCUUCUUCGUGGGCGCCUCGAACGCCGGGCUCGCGAGGACGAAGAAGAGGUCGCGGCCCGAGGGGAACUCGAGGGGGACGAGGUCGAGGGGGUCGUAGGAGCGGAUGAGGACGAAGCCGCCGAGGAUGGCGGGGCCGACGUUGUCGGCGUGGUAGCCGCUGACCUUGGCCUCGGACUCGAGCCCGGCGAGGACGAGGUCGGCGGGGGAGAGGGGCCCGCCGAACAGGGCGUUGACGGCGACGGCCGCGGCGGCGGCGGAGGCGGCGGAGGAGCCGAGGCCGCUGCCGAGGGGGAGGCCCUUGACGAGGCGGAGGGAGAGCCCGACGGAGCGGACGCCGAGCAUGCGCAUGGCGGCGGCGGCGGCGAUCCCGGCGCAGUUGCGGAGGGGGUCGCGGGUGAGCCUGGAGGGGCCGGAGGAGGAGGAGGAGGAGGAGGAGGAGAUGGAGGAGAUGGAGAGGGUCCCGGGGGGGACGGAGGGGUCGACGGAGACGGUGACGGUGUCGCCGAGGGCGUCGACGGCGACGCCGAGGAAGUCGAAGCCGGGGCCGAGGUUGGCGACGGUGGCGGGGGCGAAGGAUGUGAGGGAGCGGAAAAGGGGGGAUGGCUCCGACUCGGCGGCGACGGAGGAGGCGGCGGAGGUGGUGGCUAGGGUUUUGGGGAACGAGGGUNACGUUCAUUCACCUACGGUGCACCUGACCUGGACAGAGAAAAAAAGUAAACUCCUCAGCAAAUGUUAGCUGAGGUGCCAAAAAAAUAAAAAAAUAAAAAAAACAAUCGCGAGAGCAGAGAUGCGAAGCGAGCUUUACCGCCGACGCCGCCCCUGCCGAAUAUUCUGGAGCGGCAAUGGAAGGUUAGUGUCGGCAGGUGCAGCGCGGCUAGGGGUGGUGGAGGGCACGAAGAGGUGGCAGGCUAAGAGGAGGAGAAGAGGCAGCAGCAGCAGCAGCAGCAGCAGCAGCAGGGGCUUUGGGAGCAAGGGGUUUUGGGAUCGGUAAAUUGGUGCAUUAAAUUAAAAGGGUAAAUUUCAAAUACCAUUCAGAUGCUUUUAUACUUUCUCACUUUAAUAUUCUUGAUUUAAAAUGUAUCAAUUUAGUAUUUUAGAGUUUUAUUUUUAUUUUUUUAUUAUUAAUUUUAUUAUUUUUUUAUUAAAUCAGUGACAAAAUUAAAACUAAAGAGUACGAAAGUGAAUAUUCGAUAAACCUGGGUGGGGUAUCUGAAGUUUUUUUUAUAAAAUUUAACAAACUAUUAAUGAAAAAGUUAACGAAAAGAUUAAAAUAAAAUCACAGAACACUAAUCUGAUAUAUUUUAAACCACAAAGUACUAAAGUGAGAAGUGGAAAACUACCGGAGUUGUUUUUGAAGUUUAUCCUAAAUUAAACUAGCGUAGACUCCCGCAGAAUGCGAUGGAUAAAAAUUUACAAAAAAAAAAAAAAAAAAAAACUAUAAGAUGUGCAUAAAAAAAAUUACCAUUUACCAAUGCAAAAUUAUUUUUUUUUUAUCAUUUACCAAUUCAAAAACAAAAAAGAAGAGGAGAUGAAGUGAGAUUUAUAUAUAGUGAAAAAAUUAAUAUUAAUAUCUCAACUAAUAAAGAAUGACAAUUUUAUAAAUUUCAAGAGUUUAGAGAGCCAAACAAAAUAAUUAAAACUUUAGAGAGACUACAAAAAUUUCUCUCUAAAUUAAAUUUUUAUAAAAUAUUUUAAAAGGUUAUGAUAGCUUUCUACUUAAAUUAUCCUUGUAAAAUACAAAAAGUAUGUAAUUAAAAUUUUGAUUAUCAAAAACCUAUUCAAAGUUAAGUGUUUUUUUUAUCUAAUAAAAUUUUAUUUGUAAAAAUCAAUAAUUCAUAUGGAAGAAAAUUUACAAAUGAACAUAUUUAUAAAAAGCCAGUUAUAAAAUAGAGGGGCACUUUUUGAACUUAUUUUUUUAGGGAACUCUAAUAACUCUAUUUUUGCAGUGUUUCUCACUUUUUUUUAUUAGAUUUUAAAAUUCUUUUAAGUAUUUUUUAUUUUUACUUUGUAAAAUUGCUUUGAAAAAAUAUAAUAUAACAUGCACUAAAGAAUAUAGUAUAAAAAUAGAGUUUUUUUUUGUGCACUUACAUUUGUUUUUAUCCUUCUGUAGGAAUUAACCUAAAAAAAUCAAUAAUAAAUUAGAGAGAAAUAAUUUAAAAGUUAAAAUAAAUACUUUAUAAUUGAACUCAUAAGAUAAAAUUAGUAGAGAACAAAAAUCAAAAGAAAAAAAUAACAAUUGCUUUACUAAUUAACAAUAGAAACUGCUGAAUUAAAAGUAGAAAAUAAAAAAAAAAAAGAAAAUGCAGUUUGAGAGAGAAAGAGAAAGUAUUUAUUUUAACUUUUAAAUUACAGGAUUAAAAAAUUUUAGGAAUUAUGAGAUAAGAUGCAAUAAUUUUAAGAAGGUGAGAGAUCUCAUAAAUAAGAGUUAUUAAAUAAGGUGUAGCAUUAAAUUAAAUUAAAAAUUUGUUAGGAAGAAUUUAAUGAGAAAAGAUUUUGUAAUUUGAAAAGGCAUGUUAACUUUAUAAGAAAAAAAUAUGGUAAUUUAGUGAGUAAUUGCCAACCCAUUGAACUUCUAAAGUUAAUUUAUAAAUAAAAAAUAACUAAUUAGGAAGAAUUUAAUGAGAAAAGAUUCUAUAAUUUGAAAAGGCGUGAUAACUUUAUAAGAAAAAAUAUGGUAAUUUAGUGAGUAAUUGCCAACCCAUUGAACUUUCAAAAUUAAUUUAUAGAAGAUAAUUAUUAACCAUUUGAGGAGUUCAAUAGUCUUGUACAUUGUAAUUAUAAUACUAUAUUAAAUAGUAACUUUUGCUUAAGAAAUAUUAAUUAGAGAGAUAGUAGAUAGACCCCAAAAAAAAUUCAAGAAAAAUAAGGUUAGAAAAAAAAAAUCAAAAAAUUGAGGUUACGCCACGUCACCUCUUGAUAUUGGGGAUUAAUAGAGAGGUAUAGAUAGAUAGAUAAAUUAAAUUAAAAAUUAAUUAGGAAGAAUUUAAUGAGAAAAGAUUCUAUAAUUUGAAAAGGCAUGUUAACUUUACAAGAAAAUUUAUGAUAAUUUAGUGAGUAAUUGUCAACCCAUUGAACUUCCAAAAUUAAUUUAGUGACCAUUUGAGAAGUUCAAGUACAUUGAGGUUAUGCUACGUUACCUCUAGAUAUUGGGGAUUAAUAGAGAGUUAUAAGAUUAUUAUUAUAUAAUUUCUCGCAUUUCAGAUAAUUAGAUCUGGAACGGGCUAAAUUUCGGGCCAGAUCCACGUCUGAACCAAAUUGACCGGGUCGGACUUUUUUUAUUAAGUUUAUAAUAUGUAGAUUAAGAUUUGUCAAGUUGGUAACUUAUCUAAAUUUCAAUUUUGUUUUUCAAACCUUAAUUUAUUAUAAUUUUUUGCUCGAAUUUUCUAAAUUAUUGGUAUGAUACUAUUGUGGUUAACGACGUGAUAACAACUACAAUGUCAGAUCAAAUUUUACGAGGAACUCAAUUACAACAUUUCAAAAAGUUGAGCCAAGAAAUUACAACAAUUUAAAGUUUGAGAGCCCAAUGUGUAAUCUAGCAUUUAUCAUUCAAUGUUAAACAUCGCUGGAAACCCAACCCUUUCACUGAGAAGCACUAUAAAACUAAACAAUACAUUUGAAUUUACAAUGCAAGUUUGAAAGGCUUGGAACUAAACAAUUUAUCCAAAACAUUUUGUAAUACAAAGCAGUAUUGUGAAAAUGAACAACAAAGGACAAACUUUGGCAUAAGAGAAUCACUCUAUUGCCUAUUGCCCUAUUUUCGCGACCUCAACCAACUCAGAAGCCACAUUUCCUUUCGUGAAAAUAUCACCAAUUAUACGCCGAUCGGUCGAUGAUGAUGCAUACCAAGCUAUAGUUUCUCAACUCCUCCAAGCAGAAGAGAACUCCAAAUCAGUGUCCUCUUCCCACCAUGUAGCAUUCUGCAUUUAUCGAUACACAUUCUACAAUUUAAUGGCUAAAGAAGAAUGUAUAAAUUAAUAUGCACGGCGUGCUUCAGAGAAUUAUAGUGGUAUCAGUACAAAUUAAAGUUGUUAACCGAGUACUAGUCAUUACACAAAAAGGGGUUACUACAGUUGACUUGCAUCAUUAAGGGUAAAUUGCACGAGCAAUCCGAGAACCGACCUGAUAUUGCAACUUGGCCCUUGCAAUUUUCAUUUAAAUACAUUAGUAAUGGAAGUGGAAAAAUGGAAACUUUUAAUAGAGAAUUGCCAUUCAGGGACUAAAGUGCAAUAUAUAUGAAAGUCCAGGUCCUAAGGCGAUAUGAUACACUAAGCUGACUCUUAACUCUACAAACCAAGUUAAAUUGAUGAUACAAGACGCAAUAUGUUUAUCAUUCAACUCAAACAAGGAGAGAAAGAUUUAUGAGAAGUUUUGAACCUUGUAUCCCCUUCUGAGAAAUUCCAAUGAGCUCCCUCGUUCUUCUUGCAAUCCCAGAACCCUUAAAAGUUCUUCUUUAGUCUAAACAGGGGGAAAAAAAAAAAAUCAGUACAAGAACAUUAGAUUGGUUUAUAUGAUUCAAGUAAAUUAUUACCUCUCCCAAUGUAAAUCUAGCUGCGCUUUCUGCAACACAAGCAUAGGAACCAUCAGCCUGUUUAAGCAUGACUUGCCAAGGCCCUGCACAGUACAGUUAUAAAAUGAAUGUAUGUAUAUAUUAAUUUGUCAUUUAUUUGUUGAGGAAGUUGCAAGUCAUAGGAAAAUAAGAAAGCAUGCCUCAGAGAGAGAGAGAGAGAGAGAGAGAGAGAGAGAUUAAAAUUUUAACAAAAAAACCUCAUGAACUAAGUAUACUUAUGUAGUUUGAAAACUUCCCACGCCAUUUAAUUGAUGUAGACCAAUUCUUAAGAAGAAAAUUACGUCCUAGAAUAAUUGUUUGCAAAACCGAAGGUUCUGGUCAACACCGAGUUUGGAGUAGAUACAAUUACGUCCUAGUAUAAUUGUUUGCAAAACCCAAGGUUCUGGUCAACACUGAGUUUGGAGUAGAUACAUCACACGUUUACACCCAAGGACACAAUCAUUUGCUUUACUAUUUUAUAAGGAAAGCAAUAGAGUUUGGUGUCUAUCGAAGGACUAUUAUAAUAAAAUAUUUCAGGAAGAGAAAUUUAGAGACUAAAAUUAACCACGCAGAAGCACUUGCAUGAUAAUAAGGAGAUUAUACUGUAUGCUAUGCAUGUCAAGUUCUUACCUGGGAACCGACGGAAUAGAGCACCACUAUAGUUCACAAUGAAGGGUGCUACUGGAACUGUCUUAAACACAAGGAAAAUAAAGAUUUAAUUGACAUUAUGAUAAGAAUAAGUAAAUAAAAAAAAGCUAGAGAUACCUUGGAGUACUCUCUUGUUCGAAUGUAGAAUACAGGGAUAAACUGAGAAAGAAAGCGGUAAUGCAAAUCUUUGGUGGGAAAUCCUAGUAGGCCCAAGUCAGAGCUGCAAAAUUGAAUUUUUAUCCCCACAAUAAGGUCAGAAUCAUGAAAAUACGAAGCACAUUGUGACAAUUUGGUCAGGAAGAAUAAAUAAGACAAACCGUAAGGUGUCUAGUUCGAGGUUAAAAAGAAGAGCUGGGACAGAUGAAGCAAAAUUGUCCUGCACAAGAAAAGGCCAACAAAAAUUGCUUUAGUAACAGAAAUUAAAUUUUUAAAGAACAGAAUUACAAGAACAUUAACUAAUCUUUCUAUGCCCAAGAAAAUACUCCCUCAGAAGUACCUUUCUCUUCUCUCUCUCGUUUUUUUUUUCUUUUUUUUUUUGGUNGGGGGGGGCGGGGUUGGGGGUUGGCGGGGGGAAUCAACUACCCUUAGCGGAUACAAAGAUUUCAGACGCGCUGCUUAACUGUAGUUGUGUUAAAAGAGACCGAAGCAACUAUUUUUAAGGAUCCUUUUGUCCACAAACAUGAAUUUUCAUGCAAACCAUAAUAUGACAACAUCCACAUGUACUAUAAAGUAGCUUCUUCAACAUGUUUCAAUUCUUGUCCAUAUUAUGGUCUAAGAAUUGCAAUGAUGACAGCACAAGAGAAGAUUGUAUUGUAUGCAAUAAUUUUCCACACAUAAAUACAUAAUAGAAAAGUUUUACUCACUUCUAGGAACCUACCACAUACUUCUCUAUAGUAGAAAGAUCGCGUGUACUACAAUUGAUGAAGAUAUACAAUGAUGGUGGUUCAUCAGACUUCCAACGAUCUGCAUUUAUUAAGUAUGGAUAAAUCUUAAUUAGUCUAGUCACACCUAGCAAAAGGUCUCAGAUCCUAAUUCUUAACUUUGUUAUUCUUGCUAAAUAUCUUUUUUAGUAAAUAAUGAAAUGAGAGGUGCUACCACAUUUUUUUUCUUCUUCUUGUCAUACAAGAAAGGUACAUAUAGUGUUUGCAAAUAGUACAAACAAUAAAAAGACAAUGGGAAACCAUAACAAAGUGCCUUUGAAAAUAUAGAAAAAGGAGAAAAAGAAAACGUAAACAAUGUCAAAUAAGCACAUAGGUUUUUCACAUGAGAUGAAAACUGACCUUCAUUUUCAUCUGCAAAAUCAAAAUCCAACGUUCUUCUCACAGAUUUGAAGAAAUUACUCACAGGCCCGCCAGGUAUAUCAUCCAAAGAAGCAAUAGUUACACCACCAAUCUAAAAUAAAAAAGAUAUCUUUAAAAUAUGAAAAUUUCUAUUGCGAUACUGUAUCAAAAAUGGAAAAAAAACAUUUAACUACUGUAUCAUAUGUAACUGAAAAGAAAAUAAUCAAAAACUGAUAAUCCACUGUCACAUCAAUUGAACAUGAUGAUUGUUACUCUGAAAGGAAAUCAUACUGUUUCAAGAGCUGUCCGAAAUAACUGAGAAGCCCGGCGCUUUUCUGGCUGAUCAGGAAACACCUAAAUCUCAAUCAACAAAAGAAUAAAAAUGCCAACGAGGACGAGUUACUUAUCAUUAUGAAAUAUAGUAAUAUUCAGUUAUUUGUGAUAAUUAUGUUUAUGUCACAUGACUAAAAGAAUCAUAAUCUGUUGUGAUGUUCAUCGGCCAUUUACUUUUUCAUGCUUUUACAUAAGGCAACAAUAGUUAUUUUUGUCCAUACAAAAUAAAAAUAAAAAGCUUUCCACUUACAAUGCAAGACCUGAUUCCUUUCAUCUCUUGCAAGUUCCUUACUAUUGCAAGGGCCAGCUGGAUAUUAGCAUCAAUAAAUUCAUCUGAAGAACCCUGCAGUAAAUAGGAAGCAUAAAAAAUCGAAUUCUACAGUUGUUUUUUAUUUUAUGCCUAUAUUUUUACCAAGCAUAAUAUGAAGCUUUCACUGAUUAAUUUCAUCAAUGAUAUGAGAGAGCAUCUCUUAACAAUGUUAAGUACUCAUAAUAAAAAACUUCUUGAUUAGAAGAAUUUGUUCAAGUUAAUUUACCUUAAGAAUAUUGAAGGUUGUAACUAGGUAUUUUCGAGAUUACAAGCAAUGGAGGUAACCAGUGUGUAGCAUUAAUGAAUAAAAAUUAUUCAACUGGGAAACAUCCAAGAUGUUACACAUUGGGUUUUUGAACAUAUGCGUCCAUGCUACAAUGUCUACCUUGUGAGAUUACCACCAUAGCGAGUGCCAAGUGAAGAGAAAAUCCAUUUACACUAGUAAAAUUUAACAUUAGUUAAUUGUGGUUUCAGCCAUCAGAUUCCCAACAUCUAUUUAGCUAAAUAAACAUUGAUACUAAAGAUCAUGAAUAAAUUAUAAAGAAUCAUAGGUACCUUGUAAGAAGAUAUAUUGCUUGGUAAGGGCCUGCAUACACAUCCAAUUAAAACAUGAAAACGGAGAAAAAAAUUUAAAAAGCAAAGAUCAGAAGAAAUAAAAAUGACAAAAAUCUCGAGAAAAAACAUUCUCUGCUGUGAAAAAGCAUUAAAAAUAAACAAAAAUCCAGAUUGAAGGAAAGAUAGAACCUUUAAUCAAUUAGCAUUAAAAGAAAAGCUUCUACUCCAUGUAUAGCUCCAUUAUAGUUCAAACAAAUCAAAGAACGAUUCACAGAAUUUUCUUCUAUAAACCAAUCAUUAAGCUAAAGGUCAAUCCAAGCAACAUUUACAAGGCGAAAGAGAACUGAAACUAACAAUAAAUUGAUCCAAAUGCUGUCAAAACGCAAAAAAAAAAAAAAAGGAGAAAAGGAUAGAGAUGAGGAAUUAGGGCUAAUCAAAGUAUAGCCCCAUUAUAGUUCAAAUCAAAGUACGAUUCACAAAUAUUUUCUUCUAUAAACCAAUCAUUAAGCUUAAAGGCCAAUCCAAGCAACAUUUACAAGGUGAAAGAGAACCGAAACUAAUAAUAAAUUGCUCCAAAUGCAAACAAAACGCAAAAAGUUAGGAGAAAUGGAUAGAGAUGAGGAAUUAGGGCUAACGGGAACUCGAUCUCGAGACGCGUCUUCCCAUCGUCGAGGGCGUAGACGAGGGACCGCGCCGCGUCGGCGACGAGGACCUCGUACGACCGGGGCUUGUACACGGCAACCCCGGCCCUGGGGUCGAUCCCGAAGGAGGCGCCAUCUGAGCGCUUCGCGAGUGGCUUCAACGGCGGAGCGCGGAGCGGGCGCGAGGGACGGGGAGGAGAAGGGCGGAGGAGCGGGGAUCGGUGGAUAUGGAGGAGGAGAGGUGGAGUGCGAAGGAGGUGAGCGGAGGAGCGAGAGGAGGAUGGGGGAGCGGAGGAGAAGGACGAGGAGGAGAGCGAAGAGGACGCCAUUGGCGAAGGAGAGAAGAGGACGAGGGUAAAGGGAUAAGCGUUCGACGAAGAUGAACCGUUGGAAAGGGCAUGUGCGACGGAGCGGGAAAAUGGGCGGUCCGGUUCGACCGGGUUCAGUUUCCUCCGGUCCGGUCCGGUCCGGUCUAUUGGGUUAGCAACUUAGCAUUUCUCUUUCUCAUCAAAUUUCACCUCAUACCACCCUACACAAUGCUGAGAACAAAAAGAGUCACAAAUGAGGAUCUUUGGCAAGCACAUAUUCCCUAGACAGAUACUGCUUUUGGGUUCUGGGUAUCUUACAUUCCUCUCCAUUCAUACUCUACUAUGUUGUGCUACACCUUAAUCAUAUUCAGAGUACUCUUUUAUCUUCAAACAAUCCUCUUAUUCUUCGCCGUUUGUCGUCGAAAACACGCAGGCUCGUCUUCUUAGGAGCCACCACAUACGACGUGCACUGCUCCAUCAAGAACAACGAGAAUCCCCCCACGAAGGAACAAAUUGAAGCGCUCGAGGAUUACCUCCGAUCCAAGAGGCCCCCUCCCCCUCCCGCCUGAAUCAUUAGCCAUGUAAAGUCCUCUACUUGAUGUCGAAUCUUUUCGCUAUCUGCUUAAAUAAGUGUUUUUACGUGUGAAUGUGAAUGCUCAUGACAAGUGUUUGAUGAUAUUCCUCAGUGAACCUCCUUACUGAUCUGGAGCUCACAUUGUUGUAUUGUGGUCUAGUAGUUAUAAUUUUUAGGAUAAUAGCAUUCAAUCUACAAAUGAUUGGGCAUAUCAUUGUAGGUAUCUAAUCAUUCUCCGUCUACCAACUGCUGCAAGAUUCUCGAGUAAACAAAAGAGCUUCGCAAUGGAUGAUGUCUAAGCAUCCGAACAGACAUUAAGAGUUUAAAAUCCAUUUGAACAAUCUAAAUGGCUAUUUGAGAUAGGGAACUUAGCGAUGAAGUUUUACAAAAUGGCAUGUACCUUGGAAUAGUGUUUCGCUGCCUUGCGAAGAAGUUAAUAUCUGAAUUUGAAUAGGAGAGAAACUUUUCCUCGAUUAGCUUCCCUGUAAUUUAUCUUGAAACUAAGCAAACCAUACCAAAGUUUCAUAAUUACCUUAUCCCACACAAAUCGUUUAUGUGUAACUAUUCUAUAUCCUUACGAAAAAACCAAUCAAGGGUUUCUGGGGUCGAAUCCAGAGAAAAGGCGGUUCUAAGAAAAUUCUUACAAAAAGGAUUAAAUCCAGAUAUAACGGACUGAGUUGAUCAUUAUCAUGAUCAACUGAGCCUCCAAAUAACACCCAACUGAGGCUCUGAAUACUUCCUAAUUUUAUGUAGAAAUGAUCAAGUUAUACAUCGUUACAUGGAUAUAUAGAGAGGAACUAAAUGUGAGAAAUAAAUCAUGUGAUGUAGCGGUGAUUUAGCACAAGAUCGCAUACCAAAAAAGUUAACGAAGUCAUAUUCCCUGUGGACCAUGUUACACUUGUUCCUUCUCACUCACUAGUUAUAAUACCCCUACUAAGCUACCGGAUUUGCUCAAUUCCACUACUAUAUCUUGUCACCUAUCCAUUGAGAAACAAAGCUUUAUACGUCACUGAUACAUGGCUGUACAGUGGAAAUGGAAAUUCUCUGCUCUAACUCAGGCUUUUCGAUAAGCUCGACUCCUUCACAGAAUAAGGUGGAAUUAGUGACCUCCCAUAUGCUAUAGGUAGCGCCAUUAACUUCUUUGCUUUGCUAACAUACGCCCUCUUUGUGAAGUUAUUGUAGUCAUUUGCCUCAAUCUCGUCAAGGAUCUGCCGAUAAAGUAAGAGAGAAGCCCACACCUGCAACACAGCAUGCAGUAGCCCUGAAAGAUUAGCUCAUAAAACUUAUUAGAUUUUGCUAACUAAGAAUCUGUGGCAUAAUAUGAUCGGCACGGUGAUCCUUUAUAUUAUCUAAGAAUUCUUUGGAGAAAACCAUGAAUUCAUCUCAUUCUUUAGAAAGCAUGCUUCACAACUUCAUCUGUUACUGUCACUUUUGCUCUCCUUUAUCUCUAUAGCUUCUUCCAAUGAUUAGCUUGCUAUGAUUUCCGCUGUUCCUUUCAAAUCUCUGGACAUUCUAAUUUUAUCAAGCUUUCAUACUAGAAUUAUUCUUUUAUUCUCGUGCGUGUGUGGCACUUGUUUAGAGCUUCUUUAUCUAACCUGCAAAUUAGAUUACUGAUGUAGAUUUUCUAAGUGCAUUAGACCAUAUCUGUGUUAACAGACAAUAAGAAUUAAAAAUAACUCACGAAUGUGGCGUUAUUAUGUCAUAUUCAAUGAAAUUGUAAAAACUGAAUUUUCUAUUAGAUUUAGGUGAAGCUCUACUGUCUAUGAAAAUGCAUAACGGUAUCAAUCUAAGAUAAAAGAAAAGAGUAUUGAGACUUACUGGCCACCUACUAGCUUGACUGAGCUCAGUAACGCCUUUCUCUGCUUCUUGGAAGAACAUCCUGGCUCUCUCAAUUUGGCUUCUCAUGAAGCCCCUCCAUUUAUCGUUCACCCUUCCAUUGAAGAUAUCCUCGUCCGAAAGCCCAUACUGUGCGAGCUCGUCUUGCGGCAGAUAGAUCCUACCUCUUCUCGCACUGAGAAAUCAAAGUUUAGGGACUCGAUUGCCAGAAAAAGAAAUCCUCGAGGAACUUUACAUAAAGGAGAUGCCUUAUGAAGUUUUUCACUUACUCUUCUCCAACAUCCCUUAAUAUGUUGGUGAGUUGAUUCGCGAUGCCUAACGCCAGAGCUGCGUUGUAGACGCUCUCUGUCGUAGCUUUAGACUCUGGUGCGAUACCCAUCACAGGAACACUCACUAGCCCCACCGUUCCUGCUACGUAAUAGCAGUAGAGAUAGAGCUCGUCAAAAUUUUUGUAUCUUGACUUCUUAAGGUCCAUUCGCAUCCCUUGGAUCAUGUCCUUGAAUGGCUGAGAUUGCAACGGAAACCAAUCUAUGAAUGAAAAAGCUAUGAACAAAGAUGAAAGGCCCCAUGCUAUAAGUCGUCUGGAAACAGAUCCUUGAUGUUUAUUCAUUUUGGAUUUGAAACCUUCAAAGAUUUAGAACUUAAAAGGAAUGAUCUGUAAUUAUCUUUCUUGCUGUAACCUUUAAAUUCUGAUGCAACCUGAAGGAAUUUUCUGAAAUUGAACAACACAAGUUUAAAGUUCAAAUCCAACAAAAAAUACUUCACAGAUCUGUUUUCAAAUGACAGAUGGUUAGGCCAGUGUCUAUACAUUUUUGCCGAAGUUAUGAGUACUCUUAAGAUUAGGAAAUGUGCCUGAAUAUCAACAGGGAACUUCACAACAGUAUCUGAGAGAGCAGCAUCGAGCAUGUCGUAAGGACGGCCUGUGAACAGAUCCUCCAAGCGCGACUCCCAUCGAUCGAGAGCUGAGGGCGUGAUGUGAGAGGCAUUAGGCCCGUCAACAAGUUCAUCUGUUCUCCUGCACCACACUGGAUACAUGAUCCACUUUAGAUCUUCGAAAUUACAAUUGAAGAACCUUUUUCUAAAGGUAUCAAACUAUUGGAUUGGAUGCUAGUAUGUUACCACAAAAUCAUGAUUAAGAAAUGCGGCACAUGAAUUUGAUCAUCACAUGGAAGGUACCAAAAUUAUCUGACACGUGAUUUAUGCGGUGAAGUAUUAAAGUGACUUGAUGAUCUUUUUAAGUUUCUUGUGUAAUAAGUUAUAUAUUGAUUUUAUGCUUAGGACAAUUAUUGUUUAACCAUUAGACAUAAACAAAGUUGAGUGUGUGUCUUCAGCUAUGGGAAAUCAAUCAUUAAACAAAACUAGACAAACAGCGACUUCGUUUUAAAAUUGAUGGUUUCUGCAGAAAAAUGUAUCAGAAACUAAGUAAAAUAUUAAAAUCAAAGAGAGAGUAAUUAAUCUAUCAAGUAUUGUGGUAAUGUACCGUAAAUCGCCCAAAUUGCUUGCCGCCUUUCAUGGGUCAUAAGAAGUGUUCCUGAAAUAAGAUAAAUUCUAGCUCAAUUAUACAUUCUAAAUUUAAAUUUCUCUAUUAAGGUGAAUAACUAUAAGUUGGACUUUGAACUAACCCAAGUAGAAGGUCUUAGCAUACUCUGCGCAUACUUCCCCGCACCGAUCAUAGGCUUCCUUCAAUACAUUCGUCGAGUCAGAAAUGGACAACUCCAGUUUCACAUCGAGCUCGGGCCUCAAUCCCCUAUUCACCAACGCGGCCUGUUUGAGCACCACAUCAUACACCUUCUGCUCCGAGGAAGUUGCGACCUCUCCUACCUGGUUUGCGACUAAACUCGAAUAUACCUGGAAAUUUCGCCUAUCCUCUAGCUUGAAACCCCCAGAGGAGUGCUUGGAGUGAGCAUGCAUUGAGCACAAAUUCCAUUUAGGCUUCUUUCUGUGAAUCUUCUUAUUGUAUCUUGGACCAUAAAGUUUAGCGGAAUUAUCCGACAGAUAAAAACCUUCUCGAAUCGCCUCUGAGAGUCCGAGGACAGUAGCCAUUGAAGGAGGAUUCAGGAGCACGAAAACGACCUUCGAGCUUCUCGAGGGAUCUUCUAAUUGGAUUCAGAAAGGCUUGUAACAGCAAAUUGAAUCCUGGUUUGUGUGGGAUCACUGCAAGAUUCCAAAUUAUUCUUCAAUGAAUCUCAUCAUGAUAAACUUCUUUUACCCAUGUAACAACAUAGUCAUUAUUGAAAAUUUAGCACUGUACACAGCAGAAGUAUAGAGAAAGCAACAUACUGGAAAAAGAAGACCCAAAAUGAGAACAAAUCAAAGUUUAAAGAGAUGCUCUCUUUUCAUAAUUUAACAACUAAUAGAACCCAAAUAUAGGUAUAUAUUAUAUUUUAAAGGUGCACCCAUGUACUGAAGAUGGGUGGGGAGGAUAUGUUUCAGGGGCACUAACCUCUUACCAUUUCUCCAUCAUUCUGUGAAACAUGUAAGCAACAGCAAAAACUCCAAAGCUCUUCAAUACAUUAAUGUCACAAAGAGAGAGAGAGAGAGAGAGAGAGAGAGAGAGAGAGAGAGAGAGAGGGAGCUCUUGAAGACAAAAACUUAGCCUUCCUGACUCUCUCUCCUCUGCUCUCUGAGUGCUCUUUCUGCUCUCUCCUUGGUGGGUGGUGAGAAAGAAGUUAUUGCCUGCACUAAGUAUCCUACAUCUCAUUAAUCAUACUCAGUAUUUGAUAAUUAAUAGGUUAAAAUAAAGGAAAAACUUCAAAUACCUCCUUGGGGUUUCACUCUUUUUCACUUUAGUAUCCUGUGGUUUAAAGUGUAUUAAGUUAGUAUCAUGUGGUUUCGCACUUUCUCACUUUAGUAUCCUAUGAUUUAAAGUGUAUCAAGUUCGCACUUUCUCACUUUAGUACCAUGUGGUUUCAUAUUUCAUUAAGAGAAAAAUAAAAUCACAGGGUAUUAACUUGAUACAAAAAUAAAACCACAGAGUACUAACUUGAUACAUUUUAAACCACAGGGUACUAAAGUGAGAAAGUACGAAACCACAGGGUACUAACUUGAUACACUUUGACCCACAGAGUACUAAAAUGAAAAAAUACGAAACCACAGGAGGGUUUGGAAGUUUUUCCUAAAAUAAAACUACUGCCACUGAGUAGAUCAGUUAGUUAAUGCCCUCAACACUGAGAGUUAGGUUUUCGGCUCAAAUCUUAGCAAGUUCGUGUAUUGUGCAUGCAUAUGCGUAGGCAUGCGACCAUCUUCAAAGAGUCUUAAAAUUAAAGAUUCGACCCCCCCCCCCCAUGUGAGCUAGAAUUUGGAGCUCAUGUCUCUGAAUUUGUAUUAUAGUAUCUUAGAGGUUUCUAUGGAAUAAGAAAAGGAAUUUAAAAUCAAUUAAAUUAGUUCUUUUAAUUAUUCUUGGAUUAAAUAAAAUUUCUCAGACAAUUUAGGAAAGGGAUGAAAUAGUCUAUUCGUUAAAAAAAAAUUUCAGUAGGUGAGGAUGUUUCAAAACUAAAUUACGCGAAUAAUUUAAAAAAAACACAGGAAGUAAUUUGCAAUAUCAGGAUAAUACAGGAACUAUACCUACAUUUUACUUUAGGAAAAUAAGUUGCCAAGUUAUUUAAUUAGUGUUUUAGGAGUGCGGUGCAUGGUGCACCGGGCGCAUGCAAUAAUAAGGGAAAAGAGGGGCCGGGGAGGCUUGAGGAUUGAGAUGUGUGGACACGUGGAGGGGCCGGGUCCAAUUGGGAUGGAGAUAGGGUUAUCACAUGGAGACAACCAAUACCGUUUCGCCACGUGGCAGGAGAAUCCGAGUGGGGGGCGGUGGCGGGUGUCGACGUGUCACUGGGGAGGAGCGUGGGUCCCACGAAAAGGUCCCCAAUUCCAGUGCCUCACACGGGCCGUGGUGGGGACCGCAUAAUGCGACCGCACCUCUCUCUCUCUUUCUCACCCCACAAAACACGGUAAGGCUAAUAUAAUAAUUUUAUAUUAAAAUUUGUACUUUUUAAACAAAAUUAUUUUAACAAGUUAUAAAGUAUGUGAUUAGACUAGUUGAGUGUACUUGUAAAUGUAUUUACACGUAACAAUUAUUUUAAUUUAUUUUAAAUUAAUAUAAAUUUGUAUAUUAUACUUUUUAAAAAUUUAUAAUAAAAAUUAUAUUUUAUAAAUUCAUACAUUAUAUUUUAUUAGAAAAUAUUUGUAAUAUUCCAUAUUUUUUAUAAAUAUAUUAAAUAUUUUUUAUAUAUUUUUCGAUUUCUAAUGAUCUAAAAUUUAAGUAUGUGUUUUAAAAAAAAAAACAUCAAAAUUUAAUUCAUAUUUAUUUUAAAAUUUAAAAUUUAGUUUUGAUCCACUAUAAUUAAAAUAUUUUAUAUUGUAUAAAUUCAUACGUUAUAUUUUGUCAAACUUUAAUUCAUGUUUAUUUCAAAAUUUAAAAUUUAAUUUUGAUCCACUAUAAUUAAUUUUUUUUAAUUAUUAACUCAAAUUUGAUAUCAAAAAUUAAAUUUAAUUCAUGAUUUUAAAUUCAAAUUUAAAUUUUAAUGUAAAACAGAUGAAUAGGAAUGUUAUUUUAUAACAGAUUGUCGUUCAUUUUUAUUUGAAAUAUUUUUAACAAAUUGAUCAUAACUGUUCGUGGGAUUAGAUUUAUAAAUGGAUAUAAAUGCUAUUUUUUGACAGAUUAAUCAUAACCGUUUGUUUGUUUUUAUUUGAGAUAUUUGUGACACAGCGGCCCCCUUUUUUCCUUUCUUUUUUUUAUUAUUUUUUUUGUUAUUAUUAUAAGAUGUUUUUGUUCGGCUUAUAGCAGGAUUCGAAGUCGAUAUUUAUUUAUUUAUUUAUUUAUUUUUGCAUGGAGUAUCUAUCUGAAACGAGAUGCAUCAGGAUUGUUGGGUGAUUGGCUGAUCCAACGGCCCUUAAUUAUUAGCAGUUCUCUUCUUAUUCGAUACGGUGCAAAAAUAAAAACUCUCAAACUGGUAACAAUGAAUUAUUUAUCAUUAAACUUGAUAAAAUCAUUAAUUCAUUUAAUAGAAGUAACUUAAGUAAUAAUCAUUAAAAGUUAAAAGAGAAGUGAAUAUAAAAAAUAAAGAUUAAAGAAAGUAGUUUUUUUUUUUUUUUUUAACUUAAUAGCUUGAGCUUUUACAGGGGAAAAAGUAUUUGUUUCUAUGUUAGGAAUGUGAAGUAAAGUAACACCUAAUUAUUCUAUAUCCCAUUAGCCCUUUAAUGGACUUCAAAACAUUAGUGGGAACAAAAAGUCAACUCCUAAUUCAUAGCUUGUUAUUUCUUUUUUGUGUUAUCCUAGAUUGCUUCUUCCUAGUGAUGGUUACAAUAAUGCAUGAUUGCAUAUAGGUGGCAAAAGAUAAGUGUAAAAAUACUAAAAUAGCAAUGCACUUUUAUUGUAUUAGAUUCUUUUUACCUGAGUGCUUGCCUUUUCUAGUAGCUACAUUAGUGUAUAGCACUUUUCCUACACUUAUCCACAAUAAGAAAUGACUACUUUUUUUAGGUAGUAGAAAUUAACCAUUUUGACUAACAUAAGUGCUUCUCCUUUUAUCUUUAGAUAAUUUUUCUUUUGCUUAGUUACUAAAUGUACUCAUUUCAUGUAGAAUUAUAUUAUUUCCUUUCGAAAUAUGUUAAAUGAGUAUGAUUCGAUACACAAAUAAUAAUAUUCGAACACGAAACUUCUUGUAGAUAGCAUUGUGGUGCAUGACACAAUAAUGUAAACAAAUAUUGCUGCAGCUUUAUUUUUUUACAUUGCAGCAACAUUACAAUCACAAACAACAUGUACAUGACACUGGUAAAGAAAAAAAAAAUGAAAAGAAAGAGAAAAGAUCAUCUCAACUAUUAUAAAUCAGCCAAUAAUCAAUCUUGAUGCAAUAAUCUCGGCUCAUGAAUCAGAUCCAAUCUCUUUUUUCUCUCCUUCAAGAUUCACCAACUGCUGCUUCGGGGAUUGGCAGCUUUGGCGUGAGAAAGUCCGUCAACACCCUGUAGAUCAUUUUACAGUUGUAAAAGAUUUUUUUCGUAUAUAUAUAUAUGCCCGUCAAAAUGCGCAUAUUUUCUUCUUUUGUAUUUUUUGGUCUCCUUACCUCUGCAGUCGCGACUGCGUGCGUCUGCAGCAGUGAAACAGUGAACUUCAGUUAGUUACGUCCCCUUGGUUUCUUCAGUAUAUUGCGAAAGAGUGGGCACACUUGCCUUUGCUUUGGCGGUACUUUUGGAGUGAUACUUAUCGUGCCGUUCUGGCUCACGGUUGGUGCCUGUGGUAUUUGAUCGCUCACCGUAGGCACUGUUUUCGCCUGAAAAAGUGUUACAGUUUAGUCACGGUGUUGAUUAAUUAUAUGUCAGCAUUACUUAAUGGAUGGUAAAUUGCUCGAAAACCCCACCAAUUUUCUGAACUGGAGGUUGUAGAACAGCUGGAGAUAGCGCUGCUUCGCGAACUUCUCCUCCUUGUUCAGCUGCCUCCAGAAGCCGUAAAUUGAUCCCAUAUUUAGCACUCUUGUGGCAUAGAUCUUCCAUGUAUAGCUGCGACCGUAAAUAAAUAGCUCGUCAGGAAACUUUUAGUCCUUCAAGUUCAACCCCAGCUUCAAUUAUGUCGUCAGAAUUUCAGAAUUUCAAAUUGUGCUGUUGUUUGAUUCGGAUAUAAAUUGCUUGGAUCGAGGGACUUAACCCAAAAUGAAAUGAUAGAAGUGGAUUCAUCGGUCUCAAUCUUUUACCAUUCAUAGAUACGUUGCAGCCCGGCAGUGGAAAUCUUGUUCCAGUAACUUGGAUCAUCCCUGCACUUAGUAAAGAAAUCGGCAAUCUUAUUGCUCGUCUCAUCCCCGUUGUACGGAUCGAUGUGGAAACCGGAGACCCCGUCCACGAUUAUCUCAGCUGGCCCUCCUUUGUUUGUUGCAAAUGUCGGGAGGCCGCAAUUCAUCGCUUCAAUCACGGUUAGCCCGAAUGCUUCAUACAAUGCAGGCUACGACGAAAAUUACACAAUUUAGUCCCUUUCAGUAGGUUAUUUGAUAAACAAUGAAAUACUAAAGACUUAGUGUUAGAAAAAAUUGAACUCCUAACCUGAACAAAUGCUCCCUUAGUGUCAGCGAUACAUCGGUACAGCUCGCCGUUCCGAGCCCGAUCAGUUUGCGCGGCUAUCCAGCGAAUCUGACCCGCUAGUUGGUACGUUUCGAUCAACGAGUGCAUCUUUUUUAUUUCCAUGAUCUCCUCCCUGUCCUUCGAUUUUUCCGGGUCCAAAAGGCCGGCCACCACCACAAGGUUCGCUAGGUCCCUUAGCCGCUUGUUCUUCCCGUACCAUUCUACCAAUCCGGAGAUGUUCUUCACAACGUCGAGCCGCGCCAUCGAGAAGAUGAUCGGCUUAUUCUUAUCUUCUAGGUACCCUCUGCAUGAAAUGCAGAUUUCGAUAUCUUUCAGGAGGGGUUUCUACAUUUAAAUCCUAAAGAGAUGUGCAAAUGAAGGAUAGUUUGAGGCCCUACAUGUGUUCGUCAUUGUCAACUUUGCUGUAUAAGAGCUCCUCGAUGGCGGGGUGGAAUUGCGUGAGGCGCUUCUGCUUCUGUGUGAAGGGGAAGUAGACCGUUUGAUCGGCUCCUGGAGAAGCUAUGUUGAACUUUGGGUCGAAAACGUUGAUGCCCGUCGCGUAGCGGCAUAGGCCUGGCAUUGUGAAUGCAUAGUGGCUCUCAUAUUGACCAACCUUAUCCUUACUGCAAGUUUCGAGAUAUCAAAUUAGUACCUAAGAAUAUGGUGGCUUUCCUAAGAAGCACAUAAAAAUUUGUUACUAGUAUUGACCUUCCGGCGAUUUCUUGGUAUGUGCUCGUGAUAAUGAAAUCGCUGGUAUUCAUCGCGAUCAUAUCGGCUGUGAAUUGGCACGAGAAAUGGUACUUGUGAUCCAAUUCCUUCCAAUGAACAUCAGAAUCUCCGUACUUGGUCUUUUCGAGAGCGUGCGCGAUUGUUCCCUUGUUGUUUAGAUUGUUUUAGAACACAAUUAGAUUGCGUUUAUAGCAGAAUAAAACAAUUUACUGGCGUAUAAAAAUUUGAACUACCUGAGUGAUUCCUAGUUUCGAUGAGAUUAGAGACGCGACCAAAUUUCCGUCGGUGUAAUUUCCGAUGAUCAAAUCCGGUUUCCCCUCCAAGUAAUCAAUAAUUUUAGCAGCAGCUUCCUGUAAUUCAUCAGAAAUCAUUUACUCAGAACAACAACACAUAUAUACCCCUAAAACUAUUUGUUUCUGCAUAUCCACUUUACAAUCUUAGUUUCCUGCAUAUAAAUAUCUGUGUUGUGUCGAAAAUGGUCCCUCUUUGAAAAUCCUUAUAUGAUAAAAUACUAAAGAUACUUCUGCGAUUUUACAGAGGUAUGCAUAUUCAGAAAGGUGAUUUUCGCAGAAAAGUCGCAUAAAAUUCAAACUGAGUCACACACAUACCUCCGCAUAUCUCUCGAGAUAGGGGUAGAUAUCAAAUCGCGAGACCCACUGGUUGAGAAUUCUGUUCUCCGUCCGAAACGGCACGCGGAGGAUGUGCGAGUGCUUCGUGUCGUGCACCGGCUCGAGCUCUUGGUCGCAUUUCGUCCCCUUGGCUUCCGGUAUCAGCCUUGUUAACUGUAUCAACAACAAAGCAUUAAGAUGUUAUUCUCUCCAUUUAUUCAAAACUUUAGUUUCAUAUUGUUUCAGUAAAAUAUCGAGGACGAAAACUUUACCACAAGAAUCUGGGGAGUUAUAUUCAGGCCCUGUUGUUUGAUUCUGAGGAGCAAUUCCUCUUCAAAGGCUUUUACUUGGUCUAGAAUGUAAACAACCUGUUCAGAGGGAAAAAGAAAAAUCAAAUUGCUUCAAAUGUACCCCUGCAGAAUUAUCUAUUUAUACAUAAAAUUCAUGUAAAGUUUGAAUUAUCAAGCAUGCCUCUUAAAAUUAUAAAUAUAUGGUUCUUGCAAUUUUUGUUGGAUUUUUAGUACCUGGCCGCCAGUGUCGGGCAAUCCGAGCACGUCUUCUUGCCCAAAGUAGCCGUGCACGGAGAAUACGACAAUAUUGAAAAUGUUAGGGACUCUACUGAAAAAUUUCUCCAUAUUUGCAGGGUCUGGUGCCUGAAGCACUUCUGAUAAGCAGUUCAGUGUCUCCUUAACUGUUUCUGCAUUAUCCCCCCAUCCUUUCUCCAAACCCCACUCCUGAAACCUGCCACCAAAAAUAUAUAUAAAAAAAAAAUUCAGUACAGUUUUCAUUUUAGUUGCUAAUUUUGAUGUCUUUUUUGUUGAUCAAAACCUUUGUUCGAAUCGCUGGAACGGUGUGUUCUUCGGAAGCCCGCUGACGAACACUUCUGACAGAAGCAGCACAGUUUGGAGCUUGUUUACGGUGUCGAUGGCAUUAUUUAUCAUCAGUUUCUGAGAAUGAAUUCACAAGAAGAAAAAAAAAAAAAAAGAGAGAGGAGUUUUUAGUUGUAAGAUUCUCCUGAACAAAUUGGAUAUGAUAAGUUAAUCCAAAUCAGUUACUUCUCCGCGGUGAUUGAGCGCGAGUAAGUAGUCCAGAAGCGGUUUCAUGCUCUCGGACUUGUCGCCCAGUUUCGAAGAUAAGAAUCUCGACACGAACUGCAUUCCAUUCCCUACGGAUGAAGGCAGUGCUAGGAGAGGGGUUGAUAGAUUGAAAGCCCCGAAGUCGAUUUCCAACGCAUUCUCGUCCUUCGCCCUGCGAUUUUCACAUGUUCACAAGUAUGAAUUUUCGACCUUUUUUUACAGAUCAAACCGCAAAGGUAAAAUCAUUUUAUCACCAUAACUUCAUACCAUUUCUCAUCAAACAAAGUUUCUUUGUACUUUAGGUACUCUGAUGGCGUGAUUCCCUCGACCGAGAGAUCAUUGGAAUGCACCUUAACAUACUCCCAGAUUCCGGGCUGAGGCCUCACUGCAAAGGCUACAUAUGGAGGAAGGACUACUGCUUCCUGUCACAUUAUAACAGAGUGUUUAAGUUUAAAUUUAAACUCAUACAACUUUUUUUUGUUUGAUGAAAAAUAGGUGAUAUGAGGAGUUUUGAGUUCUAAAACCUGUGUGGAGCUAAUGAUGUAGCCAAGAAAACCUUCCAUGAGCUUCGCUUUCUCGAGUUCGUUGUCCACCGAUUUGUCGAGCUCGUCCAUCAGAUGUUGGUUCUUCAUAUACCUCUUACCCUUCGAGACAUACCUGAAGUUCGAUAACAAAGAUGGGAAUGUGAAGCAAUGGAUUUUCUCGAAAAGCUUAGGCUAUCAGAGAACGUCAGAAAGUUAAAUGAGAGAAUCAUAGUAUGAACUAAAAAAACUAUUCAUUUUUCACUCAUGUCACAUGUCUCAUUCGUUGAUGUCAUACGAAACAAUCGUUUUUUCCAAUGACUCUUUAAUGAGGAUGUCCUACGUAGGACGCGCGCUAUAUUACAUAUAAUAUUUUCUUUUUUUUGUUUUUUUUUUCUUUUAAUGCAUGUUCAGUUUUGCGAUUGUAACAAAACACAACACCUGGAGAAGAUCUUCUUCAUCUGAUACCGGCUCUGCCGCAGCGCUUCGGGCAUGCUGUCUGCAAUGCUAUCCGAUCUGCUGAAGCUAAGCGCGGCGGCCAUGGUCGGAAUAAACUGAACUAAUUUGAUCUGGAAAUGCAGCAAUGCAAAAGGAAAAAGGGAAACUAUAUGUGACUUGGGUUUAUUGCACCACAGGAGAGGUAGGUAUUUAUAGGACAAGGAUAUGGUCAUGUUAGUUGGAAUAAGUGUGGGGAUAAGAGUUGGAAUAAGUGGUUUGGUGGGGAAAGGUAAUGUUGUGAGAGGAGAAAGCACAUUGCUUUGAGGAAGUUAUGCCAACACUGGAUAUUGUAAGGCAAGAAAGGCAUUCUCCUGCCUAAGACAGGAUUCCUUUUUGGGUUUUCAAAUCUAUAAUAUGUAUUACAAAUUUUUCUUUUUUUUUAAUCAUUUCUGUCGGAUCGCUGGUGCUAAUUAGCCAUUAAUUUCAAAUACUCGAACAGUUAGAAAUACACAACUAAUUCACUUAAGGCGUAUAAACACAACACCUAUGAAUUUUGAUUGUGAUUCGGCUCAACUAACCUUACACCGUUUCGAACAUGACUUGGCCCAACCUAACCUUCCGCCAUUUCGAACAUGACUCGGCCCAACCUGACCUCCCGCCACAGGACAAGAUGCUGGUUCUUUUAAGCCAACAAUUUAUUCUAGUGAUGUGAAAAAGAUUAAAAUUUUGUUCGUGAAAAAUUUCCACUCAGAAAACAUAGUUUUUCACUAUUUCUAUUUCUCAGAUAAAAAAUUUAAAAAAAAAUUAAAAUCUUGACAAAAAUGAAAUUUAAGAAAAUUAACAUUCCUCAAAACCAUAUAGAUAGAAUAUAUUUUUCCACUUAGAAAAAUAUUUUUUGGGAUAUUUUGCGGAAACCAAACAACCCCCCAUAUGUUAUCAUGCUCUCCUGUUAGUUGACCAUUUAAAUUUGAUCAAAAAUAUUAGUAUUCCUUUUUUAAAAAAAAGAAAGACGAAUUAAGAGGGAAAAAAAAGACUUAACAUUAACAAUUUAUUAGAUAAGAUUGAUGAGGGAGAUGAAGUUAAAAAAAUAAAAAUAAACUUCAAAUACCACCCCUGUGGUUUCGCACUUUCUUAUUUUAAUACCCUGUGGUUUAAAGUAUAUCAAAUUAGUGUCAUGUGGUUUCAUUUUUAUCUUUUUGUCAGCUUUUUCGUUUAUAUUUCGUUAAAUUAUAUAUAAAAAAAUUUCAGAUACCUUACCUAGGUUUAUCGAAUAUUUACUUUAGUACCCUUUAGUUUUAACUUUGUCACUGAUUUAAUAAAAAAAAUUAGUGAAAUCGAUAAUAAAAAGAUAAAAAUAAAAUCACAUAACACUAAAUUGAUAUACUUUAAACCACAGGAUACUAAAGUGAGAAAUUGUAAAACUGCAGGGUCAGUAUUUAAAGUUUUUCGAAAAAAAAAAAAAAAAAACCUACACUGUAGAGAAUAUAUGUGCAAACUUUUUUAAGUACGGAUGAGUCUAUAUAUAUAAUAAUAUAAACUUUGAAGUGAUGAAUACGUAAUUCUAAACCUAUGCAAAGAACAUAUAUAAUAUAUUAUUUCUUCAAUAACUCUUUUUAGCCUAUGAUUCUGCUUUUGUUCUCUUUUAAGCUUCUCCGAGAAGCAUUUCUCAGCUUUUUCCUUACUCUUUUUUUUGCUGUAGCUACUCCAUAGCUUUUCUUUCUCACUUGCUGGGUUAAUUUCCUUAACACUUGUAACCACAAAAAGGAAAAAGAAGCACUCAACAUCAAAGUCAACUAAGAUGAUCCAAACCCAACCUUCAAAUUCUAGUUUUAACUCAUAAACUUUGAUUUGGUUCCGCGUUUCCAAUCCAAUGCACUUUAUUUAUCUAAAAUCCGUCGAAAUAAAACAGUCGAACACGGUACGAAAUUACUAAACGAAGUCCAAAUCACGUCGAUAUGUAUGAAUCUGUUUAACUCGAAAAUAACAUAAUGAAAGUUUUGGAAUCUCUUCGUUGCUUAUCAUAGUUGAAUUUGGAUCUUUAUGUGGAUCACACAAGUUAGCCCUUUCCUAAAUGGAUCUAUCAAUUGAACUAUCCUUCUUUUUUUUUUUGCUUUUUUUUUUAAAAAAAAAAAGUUAAUUGAGCUAUCAUAGAUGGAUGAGUAAUGUUACGUGGGGUAAAAAAAAAAAAAAAAUGAAAAAUGAAGGGAGGACCCCUCAUUUUUUUUCACUUUUGAUUAAAACCCACUAACUUUUGAUGUUUUUUAGUUUGAGUUUUGAUACUUCGUUUAGUCAAAGGUUUUCAUUCAAUAAGUUAUUAAUAGUCAACUAAUCUUGUUUUAUUCGCUUAAUAUAAAUUAAAUUUAUUAAAUUUGGUAAAAUCACCAAUAAAUUUCAUAAAUUUCUCAAUUUAAAAGGCCUAUAGUUGAGGGGGUCUCCAUACUUUUUUACCUAUUAUAUGUUGAGUGGUCCCAAAGAAUUAGAAUGAUUAGAUUCUAAGUUACAUACACUUUUACAUCCAAUGUUCUUUUAAAAUAAUGGCUUUAUAUUUAGCCUUUUUCAAAAGGUUUGAGUUUGAUUUCCCAUAGUUCUAUUGGUAGUUAUAUAUGUAGUUUAUAGCAUCUGGGAAUGUGGAGAAAAAGUGCACAAUUUUUUAUAGUUUAAACUUUAUUGUUGAUUGGGUUUUUUCCAAAAGUUUUUUUGUCCCCAAUAAUUGAGCUUAUUUGGCACUAUUGAAGCUUCAUAUUUGAUAAUUGAAUAUUCCCAGUGAAUACCGACCGUCCUUCGAGCAAGUGACAAAGAGUUUGGUGGUUGGUACCCAAAGUUUCAAGUUCGAACAAAAUAUUCUCAGUGAAUGAAAUCCAACCAUUCCAAACCCCUACUUGGGUUCAUAUACAGUGUCUUUUGUUUCUUCAUUUUUCCUUUUUUUCUCAUACUAAUUUGUUACCGGUCAUCUACUAAAUGAAUGAAACGAAUAAUGUACUACUUUUUUCUCAAAAAAAUAAAAAAAAUUGUUACCUGGUCACAAGCCCCAGAUUUAACUUAAAUUUAGAAAUUUGUAUAGCUAGCUUUAGAAUAAUAUAUAAUAGAAACUUUGGGAGGUGAGACUCAGAGGGUUCGGAUUGUUUGGUUAAAUAUAAUUAUAAAGCCAGUAUAAUUCGAGAUGCAUGUGAUUAAAAAUGUAAUAGUUAUAAUUAUGUAUGUUUUAUUUGGUUUGAUGUAGCAGAAAACGUGCUGUACUUUGUUUGUUUGUUUGCGAUUAACAAUUGCAUUUAUAAAAUUUUAUCAUUUAUAUAUAUGUGAGAGUGAGAUAACCCUCUAUAGUAGAAUUUUUUUUCCUUAUGUAAGAUUACUAGGGAGAUAAAUUUAUCUUUGUCUAUUGUUAUUCUCUCCGACUCUACAAUUGAAACUGUAACUAACAAGGAGGCUCAAAUGCAUUUGUGGAAACUACGCCCACAAUUUCAACUGCUAUAUUUGAGCCUCCUAGCGUACAGUCCCAACUGUAGCAAUUGCAUUCAAAUGCAUGAACCAAAUAGCGAGUUUAGAUCUGCAUACAGUUAUAACUGCAGUUCAGUUAUAAUUACGUGCAACCAAAUAACCCUCACA